GAUGAACGCUGGCGGCGUGCCUAAUACAUGCAAGUCGAGCGAACGGACGAGAAGCUUGCUCCCCUGAUGUUAGCGGCGGACGGGCGAGUAACACGUGCAUAACCUAUCUAUAAGACUGGGAUAACUUCGGGAAACCGGAGCUAAUACCGCAUGAUAUUUUGAACCGCAUGGUUCAAAAGUGAAAGACGGUCUUGCCGUCUCUUAUAGAUGGAUCCGCGCUGCAUUAGCUAGUUGGUAAGGUAACGGCUUACCAAGGCAACGAUGCGUAGCCGACCUGAGAGGGUGAUCGGCCACACUGGAACUGAGACACGGUCCAGACUCCUACGGGAGGCAGCAGUAGGGAAUCUUCCGCAAUGGGCGAAAGCCUGACGGAGCAACGCCGCGUGAGUGAUGAAGGUCUUCGGAUCGUAAAGCUCUGUUAUUAGGGAAGAACAGAUGUGUAAGUAACUGUGCACAUCUUGACGGUACCUAAUCAGAAAGCCACGGCUAACUACGUG
rnacentral:rRNA from 1 species